UGUCAUAGUAGCUCAGCAGGAUAGAGCAUCCGCCUUCUAAGCGGACGGUCGGGGGUUCGAAUCCCUCCUGUGACGUAAC
rnacentral:tRNA from 1 species